UGUAAAAAAUUGCUGUAAAAAAACGGGGAAUUUUGGACAGUAAUUUACCGUUUCUCAUAAAUACAGUUGAAUACCUUAAAUAAACAUUAAUUUGACAAGCAAACUAAUAACAGCAAGCUACUGUUCAGUCUUACGGGAUAAUACAGUAUUUUUUGGUCUGGUCAGGCAUGUCAGACAUGUGAAGAACUCAUCUGCAACCACGAUUCAAACUGAUUUAACUACACUGUUUUUCGGCAUUUUAUUAUACAGAAAGGAAGCAGAAUUAAAGAUCCAUUUUCACUCCUAUUGUGACCUUACCAGCACUGAGACGGACAAUGAAUUCACGUGUUUUUUUACUCCUCGCCUGUAUAUCAAGGUAAGCACAAACUGAACAGAGUCUGUGUUUCUAAGUGAAAUAAAUGACAAAAUGUUUUAUAUAUUUGCUUAUUUUUUAAAUAUUUCUAAAAACGUUUUAUUUGAUUUUGACAUAUUAAGUGCUGAUUGUUAAACGAAUUGGCAACUAGCUAAGUUAAAUACAAAUAAAGAUGCUAAUGGUAAUUUGCAAUCUAAUCAAAUGUCUGACUGACAAGUGAUUAUCUAUUGAUAUUUUUUUAAAUCUACAUGAGGGAUUGGGCUCUGUUUCACCAUUUGGUUGUAUCUUUUUUCAAUGUGUGCACUUUUAAUCUUUGUACAGUGCCUCGUGAAUGUGUUAGCAUUUAGCCUAGUCCCAUUCAUUCCUAUGGCUCCAAACAGGGAUGAAUUUAGAAGCCACAAAACUGUAAACACUUGCAUGUUUUCUCUAUUUAAAGACUGUUACAUGAGUAGUUACACGAGUAAGUAUGGUGGCACAAAAUAAAACUUUUGUUUGGAGCCAUUGGAAUGAAUGGGGCUAGGCUAACGCUAACACAUUCAAGAGGCACUGUACAAAGAUGAAGUGCACGCAUUGAAAAAAGAUAGGGCUGUAUUAAUUCAUCUAAGCUGAGGUAAGAACAUGGUAAAAUAUUGAAAACGACUAGUCCAAGGCUGAUACUGCUGGGUAAGUUUAACAGUAAGGUAUGGAGUAUCAAUAAAACAGUAGGCCUAUAGAACAGUCUGUCAGUCUUUCUAAAAAUCUCUUUCUGAAAUUAAUAUCAUUAGCUUUUCUAAGUAAUGGAUUUGCAGCAGUAUAAUAUCUGAUGUUUUUUUGGGACAUUAACUAUAAUUGUUGUCUGCAUCAGUUGCUGGUGAUGAAGUCACAUUUGGAGGUUGGAUGAUCAGCAGUGAAAACAACAUCAUCUGUGAAGGCAUCCAGCAAAGCUUCAUCAGAGGGCUGUGCAGUUUUCGCCACCUAUGUGUUCAACUUGCAAUACCAAGAUGAAGCUGCGAGGACACUGGAGUUUGUUCAAAGAUGCUUAAUUGGUGUGAACCCUAAGAGGGGAACAAAAGCCAGCCAUGUGAAUGUGUCCAAAAAGACAGGAAAGAAUCCCCAUGUGGCCACCCUCAUCAAAAACUUCAUGGACUUUGAGUGGGGCUUUCACUAUGUAUGCUGCAAUGUUGUGAUAUUUAUGUGACAUCACAGCAUUAUGUUUUAUUCAGCCCAGUCUCAUUGGUGAGGCAGAAACUGACAUUUAAGAAUGCACUGAAUUUUAUUAUAUUUAAUAAAAACAGUGUUUUAUCAUCA